rnacentral:lncRNA from 1 species
CGCCCUUGCGUGAUGGUCAUGCUAUCCAACCACAUUGCUCAUGAGAUGGUACCUGCUCUGCUAUGUUUGUCUGAAAUUCUGUUCUCUAGUUGAAUAUAUAUCUCGAUGCCUUGGUAGUAUGUGUGUGGGCUGUGUGUAUUACGUCUAUCAGGAGUUCAGGACAUUAGAUGCAAGUCUGCCCCUUAGUCAAUCAUGACGAGCUGCUGCUUCGUUUUCUCCCCCGGAACAAACUUGUGUUGUGCGGGUGAGUUUGAGAUUUUAGAGGAAACGGAAAAUCGGUGCUGCUAACUGUUGUUGCUUGGCGUCUACAUAGUUGAGCUUGGCUUAAACAGCAUGAUAUGAUUAUUCAGUCCAUGAUAGUCAUUCCGCUCUUACGCCGAUCGACAUUUCACAACAUUAUGCUCUGGUUCUUGCAUGAUCAAUCCUUGCUGCGGGCAGUAGUUCAAUUGAAGUUUUUGCCCCAACUUCUUCACACUAUUCUUCACCUGAUGUUCAUGCUAUGCAACCACAUUGCUCAUGGGUUUGUACCUGCUAUGUUUGUCUGAAGUUUUGCUGUCUAGAUCAAUAUAUAUACCGUUGCCUUGGAAGGGUUUGUGUGUAUAAUUACUUCUAUCAGGACAUUAGAUGCAAGGCUGCCCCUUAGUAAAUCAUGUUGAGCAGCUGUUUCAUUUUCCCACUAAGCAAGAGUAAGAGUACUUGAAACCAAUUGCUACAAAUUUUAGAGGAAACUGAGAUUUUAGAGGAAACUGAGAAUUGGUUCCGCUCAUUCUUAUCGAUCAGCAUAUAGACAGUUGAGGUUAGUUUGAAUAGCAUAGUGACUUGAUUAUUCGGUCCCGAUAACCGUUGCCCUCGCAGCGUUGUACCUGAAAACAAGAGUGAGAGUAUUUGGAUCUGAUUGCUAUGGUUUGCAGUAGCUUUAUAAUUCCCCUGCUACAGCUCAUUGGUUUAUAGGAACUUGGACUCAUUAAUUGCCUAGCUCUGUAGCUGCCUGUAUUACAAUUCCUGCAGUUCUUUCGGUGGAGAGCAGCAGCUAGUUUAUGUCUUUGUUGCUGUUUUGAUCGGCCACCAGUAGCAUUGCAUCGAGGAAGCUCAGCUUAGAAUGUUUGGAGGGUCACUGUCAUACAGCAGUAAUAAUAUUGGAUAAUCAUUUCUUUUAUACAUAUGUAGCGGGGCAGCAUUGAUUUUAUUGAGCUCACUGUUUCAAUCAUCCAUGACUGAUAUGAUGAACCAUCAGCUUGUAUGCUUCGGCAUGUUUUCCAUUUGAGCUCUAGGAUUAGUAUGUUUGUGUCCUCUAGCCUUUAUCUUUAGUAGUUAUUAAAUCUUGCUUUUACUGUUUUGCCUUUCUACUUGUUACAGUAAUUAGCUUGCCCUUUAAUUUAGUAAUCUUUGCUGUUCUGAUUGUGACCAUAUUCAGAUCAUUGAUAUGGUUGUUAGACUAUUCCGAAUUUAUUUGCCGAGCUUCGACCACGAAUGGAUGACAUGUCAAAUAAACUGCAGGAAACAGAACAUGCAAGGGAUCAAGAGGAGAUGAAGAUAAAGCAUACUGAGUUGGAGGCGAAACUGGUGCGUCUGCUGAGUCAAAUCUGAAAGUUGCAUGUGAAGAAAGCUGCAGGUUCAAAUAUGAAACAACCUGAUGAUGUAACUUUUCAAGAGAGAAGUGAAGCUCAAAACUGAAAGUUGCAGGUGAAGAAAGCUGCAAGUUCAAAUCUAAAACAACCUGGUGAUGUAACUUUUCAUGGGAGAAGUGAAGCUACGAUGGAGAGAGAGGCAAGAAUGGGCAAUGAAGCGUAGGUUUUAGUUGUUCGUGAAAAAAAUUUAGAAAUAAUUGUACUUUGCCUGUGUUUCUUUAUCAAGGCAAUUAUCUUGUUGACAGUACUUUAAUUACAUGUUGGUUCUUGAAUGAAGUACUC